GCUGGGUGUGGUGGCACACACCUAUAAUCCCAGUGCCUUGGGAGGCUAAGGCAGGAGGAUUGCAAGUUCAAGGCCUGUCUCAGCAAUUUAGUGAGGCCCUAAGCAAUUUAGUGAUACCCUAUCUCAA
rnacentral:sRNA from 1 species